rnacentral:lncRNA from 1 species
AUAAGGAAGAACUUCUGCCUAAGAGCUCAUCUCGAUCUCCCUUCUGGCAGGUUAAAGCCAUCCCAAGACUGUAAAAGUUUAAAUGUAUCCAUCUACCCUGAAGGGGAAAAGCCAAAGAUAAGUAAGACCUUAGAGGAGCUGCAACCACUAUGCACCAGACAGCACAUUGCUCCACGUAGGCAGGUGAUGCAAAGGACAAAAGCAUGAUUCAAGAAGAAAACUUUCAUGAAGGAUGAGGAUGUAACUUAAGCUGCUGCAAGAGAAAGCUUCCUGUAUCAUUUCCUACAGAAGAGAAAAAGGUGGUUAAUGAGUGUGUUGUGUGGUACGAGGCCACAUGUGUGUGUACAUGCUGGGCCCCAGCUAUGGGAUGUGAAGGACACAGAAGGCAAGGUUGAGUUUCCAAGGGGUUCCAAGCCCCUGACCUGCACACUCCAACAUCCAGGAGGGGAAAAUCCCAACAUCCCAACAGCAAAACCUGUACGGACAACGGCACGUGAAGCAAACACCAGAGAACAGGUUUACAUCCUUACACGUAAAUACAAGGCAGCUUCCUGUUGUUGUGUUCCUCUGGAGAGGGUAACAGUUAUAUUCAACUGGAACUACCUGCAAAACACAAAAAGUAUGGUAAGAAUGCUGAGAGGUGUAGGGUAACAUUUUCCAAAGAACUUUAAAUAAUUUCAUGAAAAUUCAGUGCUUAGGAUCCCAAAUAAAGCAGGAGCCUCUAAGAAUAUUAUUCAUAGAAUUCAAGAGCUGUAUUUAAGCUCAGGCCUUUCUCCUUGCCCAAAGCCCACCCUGAAUAUGCCUGUGCCAUGCAUUUUGCCCAUCCUGACUCAACUUUCAGUCUCAGAGGGCCGGGAGGUGUCCAUCCCCAGCUGAUGGAUGCAUACCUGGCCUAAAACAGGGGUCAACUCCCAUUAUCUGCCCAUUUCUUGUUCCUUCCCUGUGUACCCCCUGUCAGUUCCCAAGCUUGUUUUUAGCAAGUGCCAAAGAUAAGAGGAGAACAUCAAACAGCAGUCUUCCUCUGAGAAAGACAAACACACAGUUUUCAUGUUCUCAAGCACAGUUUUUACUAAUGCUUCCUGGUAAUGCUGGUAACUGCCAUCGUAGUUAGGAAUUAGGUGGCUCUUAGGAAGAGGUAUCUAUUUGGCAGAUUCAGUGAGCUCUGUGCUGUGUUCCUUCCUUUGGAUGGAAUUAAUCAGGCUCUGUGCUGAGAUUCAAUUAGAGACAGUAAGUGAAUUUCCUUGCUCUGUUUUGAAUCAGAGCAUCUCUCCAUUUUUGUCCUUGCUUGCUUUGAAACAAGAUGAUGCUGGUGGUGAGGGUGUAUGGGGAAAACUCGGAGCACCUUUUCCUAAAGAGCUGACCAACUCUGAGCACAAAUCCCUCUGUAAGCAACGGCUUAUUUCCAGGUUAUGAACUUCUUCCUUUUAAAGAAUAUAAAUCAGGCUUGUAUUUUAACUAACUCAACAAAUGAAAUCACUAACAAGAGAGCAAACAGACUGUUAACAGAUUGCUUUGGCUUGGAAACAUCUCCGCAACUAUUU